GACGUACGCUGGCGGCGUGCUUAACACAUGCAAGUCGAACGGAAAGGCCUCUUUCGGGGGGUACUCGAGUGGCGAACGGGUGAGUAACACGUGAGUAACCUGCCCUUGACUUUGGGAUAACUUCAGGAAACUGGGGCUAAUACCGGAUAGGAGCUCCUGCUGCCUGGUGGGGGUUGGAAAGUUUCGGCGGUUGGGGAUGGACUCGCGGCUUAUCAGCUUGUUGGUGGGGUAGUGGCUUACCAAGGCUUUGACGGGUAGCCGGCCUGAGAGGGUGAACGGCCACAUUGGGACUGAGAUACAGCCCAGACUCCGACGGGAGGCAGCAGUGGGGAAUAUUGCACAAUGGGUGGAAGCCUGAUGCAGCAACGCCGUGUGCGGGAUGACGGCCUUCGGGUUGUAAACCGAUUUCGCUCAUGACGAAGCUUUGUGUGACGGUAGUGGGUAAAGAAGCACCGGCUAACUACGUG
rnacentral:rRNA from 1 species